rnacentral:rRNA from 1 species
UGCUCAAUGGAUUUUUAAAUUGCUGUAGUAUUUUGACUAUACAAAGGUAUUGAAAUAAGACUUUAAUUGAGUGCUAAGAGAAUGGAUUUUCAAAAAAAUGCUUUCUUAAUUUUAAGAAUUGAAGUUAUUUUUUUCUGUGAAGAAACAACAAUAAAAAUUAAAGACAAGAAGACCCUAAGAAUUUUUAUAAAUUUAUUAUAUAAAUAUAUAAUAUAUUUAUUUAAUUGGGGCGAUUUGAAAAUAUUUUAAACUUUUUAAAAACUAAAAAGAUCCAUUAAUAAUGAUUUUAUGAAAGAAAUACUCUAGGGAUAACAGCGUAAUAAUUUUAGAUAGAUCUUAUAGAAAAAAUAGUUUGCGACCUCGAUGUUGGAUUAGGAUUCUUAUUUAAUGAAGAAGUUAAAAAAAGAAGUUUGUUCAACUUUUAAAUUCCUACUUGAUCUGAGUUCAAACCGGACAGCAAUUUUAAAAAACCUUUGAGCA